rnacentral:sRNA from 1 species
CCCACCGCUUACGCGGUGGGCUAGAUUCUAUCGCGCCUCCGGCGCU